GCCAGCCCGGGUCGCCCUCCCCGAAGGCUGCGUGCCGGAUCCUCCUCCGCCCCGCUUUCCCGCCGUUUCGCCUCCCGCUCCCCUCGCGCGCACCCCUCCUCCUCCUCCUCCUCGCACGUGGCUCUUCACGAAAUAAUUAUUUGGAAAAAAAGAACCCUGACAGGAGGAGCCCGCCUUCAAUUAUUUAUGCCGACAACAAACCCAAAACGAGAUGGGGACUCAAUCUACAGUCCUCCAGAUAUCGCUGGACUCCACCAUCCCUGACCAUUGGUCAUGCUGGCUGGGGCUGAUGGGAGUUGGGAUUCAACACAAUCCGCAUUCUUGAUUUAUACAGACUUCCUUUCAUCCGAAGUGGAUCACUUACACUUCACCAGGACCAAGACGAGUAGCGCUGACAACAUCACAAAGCAGAUGGCUACCAAGACAUAAAGGAUGAAAACGUGAAUUCUUCUGCUGUCUUUCCUUUGCGGAGACUCAGCAUUGGCAGGAGCUGUAGCAGUGAAGAUUAGCGGAAGCGUUUUAUUUGCAACAUUU